CCAUGCAGUCGAGCGGUAACAUGUGUCGUAGCUUGCUAGCCCGACUGACGAGCGGCGGACGGGUGAGUAAUGCUUAGGAAUCUGCCUAGUAGUGGGGGAUAGCCCGGGGAAACCCGGAUUAAUACCGCAUACGGCCUACGGGAGAAAGCAGGGGAUCUUCCGACCUUGCGCUAUUAGAUGAGCCUAAGUCGGAUUAUCUAGUUGGUGGGGUAAGAGCCUACCAAGGCGACGAUCCGUAUCUGGUCUGAGAGGAUGAUCAGCCACAUCGAGACUGAGACACGACCCGAACUCCUACGGGAGGCAGCAAUGAUUGAAUAUUGGACAAUGGGGGCAACCCUGAUCCAGCCAUGCCGCGUGUGUGAAGAAGGCUUUCGGGUUGUAAAGCACUUUCAGUGAGGAGGAAAAGUUGGUCGCUAAUAUCGGCCAGCCUUGACGUUACUCACAGAAGAAGCACCGGCUAACUCCGUGCCAGCAGCCGCGGUAAUACGGAGGGUGCUAGCGUUAAUCGGAAUUACUGGGCGUAAAGCGCGCGUAGGUGGUUUGUUAAUGUGAGAUGUGAAAGCCCCGGGCUUAACCUGGGAACGGCAUUUCGAACUGGCAAGCUAGAGUGUGGUAGAGGGUAGUGGAAUUUCCUGUGUAGCGGCGAAAUGCGUAGAUAUAGGAAGGAACACCAGUGGCGAAGGCGUCUACCUGGACCAACACUGACACUGAGGUGCGAAAGCGUGAGGAGCAAACAGGAUUAGAUACCCUGGUAGUCCACGCCGUGACGAUGUCUACUAGCCGUUGUCGACUCUUGAAGUCUUAGUGACGCAGCUAACGCACUAAGUAGACCGCCUGGGGAGUACGGCCGCAAGUUAAAAGCUCUGAUGAAUUGACGGGGGCCCGCACAAGCGUGGAGCAUGUGCUUUAAUUCGACGCAACGCGAAGAACCUUACCUGCCCUUGACAUCCUGCGAACUUUCUAGAGAUAGAUUGGUGCCUUCGGGAACUCAGUGACAGGUGCUGCAUGGCCGUCGUCAGCUCGUGUCGUGAGAUGUUGGGUUAAGUCCCGUAACGAGCGCAACCCCUAUCCCUAGUUGCUAGCAGUUCGGUUGAGAACUCUAGGGAGACUGCCGGUGACAAACCGGAGGAAGGUGGGGAUGACGUCAGGUCAUCAUGGCCCUUACGGCCAGGGCUACACACGUGCUACAAUGGCGCGUACAGAGGGCAGCAAACCCGCGAGGGGGAGCUAAUCUCACAAAACGCAUCGUAGUCCGGAUCGGAGUCUGCAACUCGACUCCGUGAAGUCGGAAUCGCUAGUAAUCGCGAAUCAGAAUGUCGCGGUGAAUACGUUCCCGGGCCUUGUACACACCGCCCGUCACACCAUGGGAGUGGAUUGCUCCAGAAGUGGUUAGUCUAACCUAGGAGGACGAUC
rnacentral:rRNA from 1 species